rnacentral:rRNA from 1 species
GAUGAACGCUGGCGGCGUGCCUAAUACAUGCAAGUCGAGCGAACAGAUGAGGAGCCUGCUCCUCUGACGUUAGCGGCGGACGGGUGAGUAACACGUGGAUAACCUACCUAUAAGACUGGGAUAACUUCGGGAAACCGGAGCUAAUACCGGAUAAUAUAUUGAACCGCAUGGUUCAAUAGUGAAAGACGGUUUUGCUGUCACUUAUAGAUGGAUCCGCGCCGCAUUAGCUAGUUGGUAAGGUAACGGCUUACCAAAGCAACGGUGCGUAGCCGACCUGAGAGGGUGUGUCGGCCAAACUGGAACUGGGAACGGUCCCGGACCCCAAGGGGAGGCGGCAGUGGGAAACCUUCGGCAAGGGGCGAAAGCCUGACGGAGCAACGCCGCGGGGGUGAGGAAGUCCUUCGAAUCGUAAAACUUGUUUAUUGGGAAAAAACAAAUGGUUAAGUAACAAUGCAGGUCUGAACGGAACCAAAGCAAAAAGCCACGGCAACCUACGG